GCUGUUGGUGUAGUGGUUACAGCAUUGGAUUGGUAUUCCAAAGAAUGGUGGUUCAAACCCACUCUCGGCA
rfam:Daphnia pulex DAPPTscaffold_329_Cont8764, whole genome shotgun sequence.